GAUGAACGCUGGCGGCGUGCCUAAUACAUGCAAGUCGAGCGAACAGACGAGGAGUUUGCUCCUCUGACGUUAGCGGCGGACGGGUGAGUAACACGUGGAUAACCUACCUAUAAGACUGGGAUAACUUCGGGAAACCGGAGCUAAUACCGGAUAAUAUAUUGAACCGCAUGGUUCAAUAGUGAAAGACGGUUUUGCUGUCACUUAUAGAUGGAUCCGCGCCGCAUUAGCUAGUUGGUAAGGUAACGGCUUACCAAGGCAACGAUGCGUAGCCGACCUGAGAGGGUGAUCGGCCACACUGGCACUGAGACACGGUCCAGACUCCUACGGGAGGCAGCAGUAGGGAAUCUUCCGCAAUGGGCGAAAGCCUGACGGAGCAACGCCGCGUGAGUGAUGAAGGUCUUCGGAUCGUAAAACUCUGUUAUUAGGGAAGAACAAAUGUGUAAGUAACUAUGCACGUCUUGACGGUACCUAAUCAGAAAGCCACGGCUAACUACGUG
rnacentral:rRNA from 1 species